GAUGAAGAACGCAGCGAAAUGCGAUAAGUAAUGUGAAUUGCAGAAUUCAGUGAAUCAUCGAAUCUUUGAACGCAUCUUGCGCUCCUUAGUAUUCUGAGGAGCAUGCCUGUUUGAGUGUCAUUAAAUUCUCAACUACACUGACUUUGAAUUGGUGUGGCUUGGAUUUGGGGGGAAAAUUGUUGUGGGCUUUUUGUAUAGUCUGCUCCCCUGAAAUUGAUUAGCGGUACCUUUGUGGAACUGUCUACAGGUGUGAUAAUUAUCUACAUCUUAGACAUCUGCUGGAAUGCUGCUUUCUAAACCUUACUUGUAUUGACAAUCUUGACCUCAAAUCAGGUAGGACUACCCGCUGAACUUAAGCAUAUCAAUAAGCGGAGGA
rnacentral:misc_RNA from 1 species